AAAGGAGCCACAAAAGAUUCUACGCCAACAAAACAUAGCACGCCACAAACGGAAACAACGCCAAAGAAGAAAACAAAAUCGCAGAAAGAUUCCACAGUUAAGGCAAAGAGAAGAGUUUCUUUUGGAUAUCCGACAACUGGAGGAGGUGCUGAGGAUACCGAAACCCAGAUACAGCAUACAAUAUUGCCGAUUGAUUCAACACUGCAAGCAGCGACACUUCAAGCAGAAUCAGCCCAGAUGCACCCACCCACGGUGCAGGAAGAAACAUCAUCCCAACAGCCAC